AUGGCGCCCAUCAACAGCUCCAACAUGGAUAUGCACUCGCAGAAGCUCUUCGAGCCCGACCUACCUGUGCAAGUCCGGCUGCAGCUCGUGAUGGAAGUUCGGGACAGCCUGGAGAUGACACAUACUCCGGAUUACCUCAACUUCCUUCGAUGCUACUUCAGGGCCUUCUCAGCCAUCCUGAGCACCUACACCUCACCACAGGCCACCGAAAACGCUGAGCACAAGCUGCGCAAUGUGGUGAUCGAGAUCCUCAACCGGCUUCCGCACAGUGAGGUGCUGCGACCCUUUGUGCAGGAUCUUCUCAAGCUCUCUCUCCGCGUGCUGACACAGGACAAUGAGGACAAUGCCCUUCUUGCCAUUCGAAUCGUAUUUGACCUUCUCCGCAACUUCCGCCCUACUGUUGAGGCGGAGGUCCAGCCAUUUCUUGAUUUUGUUGUUGCAAUAUACCGCAACUUCAAAUUUACCGUCAAGCAUUUCUUCGAUAACCCCAAUGCCAGUGCCAAUGUCGUUCCUCCCGUGUCCAAUCAGCAUUUGGACCCCACUGCCGAUGGCCCAGGCAUGUUGGCAGUGCCAAGUGGUGGACAACUCAAUCCAAGCGCACAGUCUUUCAAGAUAGUUACCGAGAGCCCUCUUGUGGUGAUGUUCCUCUUUCAGUUGUAUGCUAAGCUGGUGCAGACAAAUAUCCCGUUCUUAUUGCCACUCAUGGUGGAAGCAAUUGCUGAGAACGGGCCAGACAAGGUGCUGCCUCACCUGAAGACGCCCUUUGUUGAGUUAAAGGGUGCACAAGUCAAGACAUUGUCGUUCCUGACGUACCUGCUAAAAAGCAACGCAGAUUAUAUAAAGCCAUAUGAGAACAGUAUAUGCAGCAGUAUUGUGAAAUUGCUUGUUACAUGCCCCGCAGACUCAGUCUCCAUAAGAAAGGAGCUGCUAGUUGGGCUGAAGCAAGUUCUCAACACUGAAUACAGGCGUGGGCUGUUUCCCUUGAUUGACACACUUCUUGAUGAAAGGGUUUUGGUUGGCACAGGGCGAGUUUGUAUCGAGACAUUAAGGCCGCUUGCUUAUACCCUUCUUGCAGAGUUGGUGCAUUAUGUUCGAGGAGACCUUUCCCUUCCGCUGUUGUCACGGAUCAUCUAUUUGUUCUCUCGGAAUAUGCAUGAUUCUUCGUUAACUCUCGUAAUUCAUACGACGUCUGCCCGCCUAAUGCUUAAUCUGGUCGAGCCCAUAUAUGAAAAAGGUGUUGACCAGCAAAGCAUGGAUGAAGCACGAGUAUUGUUGGGGCGCAUAUUGGAUGCAUUUGUUGGGAAAUUUAGGACACUGAAGCGCACGAUUCCUCAGUUGCUUGAAGAAGUUGAGGAAGGGAAGGAACGUCCAAAUUUGAGAAUGAAGCUCGAAGUCCCAUUGCAGACCGUGUUGAAUUUGCAACCACCCUUGGAAUAUACGAAGGAGGUUAAUGAUUACAAAAGUCUGAUAAGGACACUCGUAAUGGGAAUGAAGACAAUAAUUUGGAGUAUAACCCAUGCUCAUUGGCCACGCCCACAGCAACAGAAUCAGCAAUCUGCUAAUUUGUCAGUUCAACCCUUCAGGGGACUGUGGGAGGAUGAGGUGCGGAAGACUUCAGGUGUUCUAAAAUCUGGUGUUCACUGUUUAGCUCUAUUUAAGGAGAAAGAUGAGGAGAGGGACAUACUACAAUGUUUUUCACAAAUGCUAGCUAUAAUGGAAGCUCGUGAUAUCAUGGAUAUGUUUUCCUUCUGCAUGCCGGAUCUCUUUGAUUGCAUGAUAACCAACAACCAGCUUUUACACAUAUUUUCUUCCCUUCUGCAAGCUCCAAAGGUUCUUCGGCCCUUCACAGAUGUAUUGAUUAAUUUCCUUGUUAGCUCAAAGCUUGAUGCUCUGAAACAACCAGAUUCACCUGCAGCAAAGCUUGUCUUGCAACUCUUCCGCUUCUUGUUUAUUGCUGCCGCAAAGGCUCCAGAAAGCUGCGAACGCACUCUUCAGCCACAUGUGCCAGUAAUAAUGGAAGUUUGCAUGAAGAGUGCCACUGAAGUUGAGAAACCUCUUGGUUACAUGCACCUUCUCCGUAGCAUGUUCCGUGCAUUGAACAGUGCUAAAUUUGAUUCAUUGAUGCGUGAUCUUAUUCCAUCUCUUCAACCUUGCCUCAAUUUGUUACUCUCGAUGCUUGAUGGGCCAACAACUGCAGAUAUGCGGGACUUGAUUCUGGAGCUUUGCCUGAUAUUACCUGCCCGUUUGAGUUCGUUGCUACCUCACAUUCCUCGUUUGAUGAAACCUCUUGUUCUUGCUCUGAAAGGGAAUGAUGAUCUUGUGAGCUUAGCUCUUUGUACACUUGAAUUUUGGAUUGAUAGCCUAAAUCCUGAUUUUCUGGAACCUAGCAUGGCCAGUUUAAUGUCUGAGGUCAUUCUUGCUUUAUGGUCUCACUUAAGGCCCCUUCCCUACAAAUGGGGUACAAAGUCCUUGGAACUUUUAGGUAAGCUAGGCGGUCGAAACAGGCGAUUUCUGAAGGAGCCCUUAGCACUUGAAUGCAAAGAAAAUCCGGAACAUGGACUUCGUUUAGUUCUGACUUUUGAGCCUGCAACACCAUUUUUAGUUCCUCUGGACAGAUGCAUACAUUUUGCUGUUGGUGCUGUUAUGCAAGGUAAUGGUAUGGAAGCUUUCUACAGGAAACAGGCUCUUCAGUUUAUUCGAGUAUGCUUGAACUCUUUGUUAAAUUUGAGGGAAAAUGUACCUGCGGAGGGUGUGAGCUCUGGCGUUCUUGGGCAUCUGCUCAUUUCUUCAUUAGAUCCCUCAAGGCGUCGCAACGAUGCUUCAGAUAUGAAGGGAGAUUUAGGUGUCAAGACAAAGACACAAUUAUUGGCAGAAAAAUCUGUUUUCAAGGUUUUGCUUGUAGCUAUCAUCGCCGCUAAAGCUGAUACCAGUCUUCAAGAUGAGAAGGAUGACUUUGUUGUUGAUAUAUGCCGGCAUUUUGCUAUACUUUUCCAUGUUGAUUCGUCAUCCUCCAAUCAAUCUGGAUUUGGGCAGCCUAUUGGUUCGUCCCUGUCAUCUAGCAUCACCAUGGGGUCUAGACCAAGAAGCACCACAUCAUCUAAUCUCCGGGAGUUGGACCCUUUAAUAUUUUUGGAUGCAUUAGUUGAAGUUCUAUCUAGUGAAAACCGUCAACAUGCAAAAGCUGCUCUAUCUGCUUUGAAUACUUUUGCUGAGACACUAAUCUUUCUCGCACGGAUGAAACACACUGGUGUGCUAAGAGGAGGCCCAAGCACUCCUAUGCUCGUUUCUAGUCCAUCUUUGAAUCCAGUAUAUUCUCCUCCCCCGAGUGUGCGGGUUGCUGUGUUUGAGGAACUAUUGCCCCGUUUAUUGCACUGUUGUUAUGGUAGCACGUGGCAAGCUCAGAUGGGUGGUGUAAUAGGCCUUGGAGCAUUGGUUGGUAAAGUGUCUGUGGAAACCCUAUGUAUCUUUCAGGUCAGAGUUGUACGUGGACUUAUAUAUGUUCUUAAGAGGCUUCCAGUGCAUGCAAACAAAGAGCAGGAGGAGACAAACCAUGUCCUAACACAAGUGUUACGGGUAGUAAACAACGCAGAUGAAGCAAACAGUGAACCCCGCAGACAAAGUUUCCAGGGAGUUGUUGAGUUUCUUGCUUUCGAGCUGUUUAACCCCAAUGCUUCAAUUGUUGUGAGAAAGAAUGUGCAGGCAUGCUUAUCACUGCUUGCAAGUAGGACUGGCAGUGAAGUCUCUGAAUUGCUUGAGCCUUUGUAUCUACCAUUGCUUCAGCCUCUGAUUUCACGACCUCUGCGUUCGAAGAACGUUGAGCAACAGGUGGGUACUGUUACAGCCCUGAACUUCUGUCUAGCACUAAGACCACCUCUUCUGAAGUUGUCGCCUGAGCUCGUCAAUUUUUUGCAAGAAGCACUGCAAAUUGCGGAGGCUGAUGAAACAGUAUGGGUCACCAAGCUGAUGAAUGCCAAAAUAGUCAUGACAUGGAAUAAACUAAGAACUGCAUGCAUUGAACUGCUCUGUACUGCGAUGGCUUGGGGAGAUCUGAAAGCUCCAAUUCACAGUGAAUUGCGGGCAAAGAUUAUCUCAAUGUUUUUCAAGUCUCUUACAUGUAGGACAACUGAAAUUGUCAAUGUUGCCAAGGAGGGACUUCGUCAGGUUGUUCAGCAACAGAGGAUGCCAAAAGAUCUUUUACAGAGUAGCUUAAGGCCCAUCUUAGUUAACUUAGCACAGACAAGGAGUCUCACCAUGCCGUUACUCCAAGGAUUGGCCCGUCUGCUUGAAUUACUGUCUAAUUGGUUCAAUGUAACUUUGGGUGCAAAGUUAUUGGAUCACUUGAAAAAAUGGCUGGAGCCAGAGAAGCUUGCCCAGAGUCAAAAAUCUUGGAAAACUGGAGAUGAACCAAAAAUAGCUGCAGCUAUGAUUGAGCUUUUUCACCUUCUCCCCGCGGCGGCGAGCAAGUUCUUGGAUGACCUUGUCACCUUGGUAAUAGAUUUGGAGAGCGCACUUCCUGAAGACCAAUUUUAUAGUGAAAUCAACAGCCCUUACCGUGCUCCACUCUCCAAGUUUUUGAACCGCUAUGCUGUGGAGGCUGUGGACUAUUUUCUUGCUCGGUUAAGUCAUCAAAAGUAUUUCAGAAGGUUUAUGUACAUAAUCUGCUCUGAUACUGGGGAAUUACGGGAUGAACUUGCGAAGUCACCUCAAAAGAUACUUGCUAGUGCCUUUUCACAGUUUAACUCUCAGACUGAAGCAGGUGCUGCUCAACUACCAUCUUCGGGACCUGGUAAUCAGUUGUUGUCCUCGGUAAAGGAUGAAGGAGCUGGAGCCACAACCAAUAGUUUUACUGUCCAAUCUUCAUCAAACAUGGUUAUUGGUUCAGAUAGUUAUUUCAAUGGAUUAGAACUUAUCUCGACCCUUGUGAAAUUGAUGCCCGAGUGGCUCCGUGACAACAGGGAUGUCUUCGACACAUUGUUGCUUGCAUGGAAAUCACCUGCAAGAAUUGCUCGCCUGCAGAAUGAGCAGGAAUUAAGUUUACCCCAGGUGAUGGAAAGCAAACGGCUCAUAAAAUGCUUCCUGAAUUACUUAAGGCACGAUCGUACUGAAGUUAGUGCACUCUUUGAUAUGCUAUCAAUAUUCUUGUACCGAAGCCGAAUAGAUUAUAGCUUUCUGAAGGAAUUUUAUGUCAUAGAGGUUGCUGAAGGAUAUGCUCCAAAUUUGAAGAAAACUAUUCUGACUCACUUUCUGAACAUAUUCCAACUAAAACAGUAUGGGCAAGAUCAUUUGGUUGUUGCUAUGCAGAUACUCAUUCUUCCAAUGCUAGCUCAUUCUUUCCAAAACGGACAAAGUUGGGAAGUUGUUGAUCCUUCUAUAGUUAAAAUUAUUGUUGACAAGCUUCUUGAUCCUCCGGAAGAGGUCAGUGCUGAAUAUGACGAGCCUUUAAGAAUAGAACUCCUUCAGCUUGCCACAUUACUUCUGAAGUAUCUUCAGAAUGACCUUGUUCACCAUCGAAAGGAACUCAUAAAGUUUGGCUGGAACCAUCUUAAACGUGAAGACAAUUCCAGCAAACAGUGGGCCUUUGUGAACGUGUGCCAUUUCUUAGAGGCAUAUCAAGCCCCUGAAAAGAUAAUUCUACAGGUUUUUAUUGCUCUAUUACGGACAUGCCAACCAGAAAAUAAGUUGCUAGUGAAGCAAGCUCUUGAUAUCCUUAUGCCUGCUCUGCCUAGAAGACUCCCUCCUGGGGAUACUCGCAUGCCAAUAUGGAUCAGAUACACGAAGAAAAUCCUUGUGGAGGAAGGCCAUUCUAUUCCCAACAUGAUUCACAUAUUCCAGCUAAUUGUUCGCCAUGCAGAACUGUUCUAUAGUUGCAGAGCACAUUUUGUUCCCCAGAUGGUUAACUCUCUUAGUCGUCUUGGAUUACCAUACAACACAACUGCUGAAAACCGACGUCUUGCAAUCGAACUUGCUGGAUUGGUAGUGGCGUGGGAGAGACAGAGGCAGAGUGAAAUGAAAGUUGUGCAGGAAAGUGAGAGCCAGAAUCAGAUUGUUGAUAUGCUUAGCCCUACUGUUAUUGGUGGUGAUCCAAAACGCUCUUCAGAUGUUCCCAUGUUUGCUGAUGAUCUGAGUAAGAGGGUAAAGGUUGAGCCAGGCUUACAACCUCUUCCUGUGAUGUCACCUGGUGGGGCAUCCAUACCUAAUAUUGAAACACCAGGAUCUUCUGGGCAACCGGAUGAGGAAUAUAAACCCAAUGCUGCAAUGGAAGAGAUGAUUAUUACUUUCCUUAUAAGGGUGUCACUGGUGAUUGAACCCAAGGAAAAAGAAUCUAGUUCAAUGUACAAGCAAGCUCUUGAUUUGCUGACACAAGCUUUGGAAGUCUGGCCCAAUGCCAAUGUUAAAUUCAAUUAUCUCGAGAAGCUGCUUGGGAAUCUGACACCCUCCCAGUCAAAGGACCCUGCAACGGCGCUUGCACAGGGUCUUGAUGUUAUGAACAAAGUCUUGGAAAAACAACCCCGCCUCUUCAUUCGGAAUAACAUCAAUCAUAUUUCUCAAAUACUGGAACCUUGCUUCAAUAACAAAAUGCUGGAUGCUGGAAAGUCCCUUUGUUCCUUGCUAAAGAUGGUAUUCAGCGCUUUUCCACUUGAAGCGGCUACGACACCGCAGGAUAUAAAAAUGUUGUAUCAAAGGGUUCAAGAUCUCAUUCAGAAGCAUCUUGCUGCUGUGACAACUCCACAGAUAACACUCGAAGCUAGCAAUGCUAACUCUAUAAUAAGCUUUGCACUGUUCGUCCUCAAUGCACUUGCAGAAGUACAAAAGAAUUUCAUUGAUCCAUUUAUUGUGCUGCUUCUUCGUGUCCUGCAACGUCUUGCACGGGAUAUGGGAUCUUCUGCUGGCAACCAUGCCCGACAAGGACAGAGGCCUGAAAUGGAUUCAGCAGUUAGCUCGCGCCCUACUGUGGAUUCUACUGUCAUAUGCAACAUGAAGACUGUCCUAAAGCUCAUAAGUGAGAGGGUGAUGGGCUCUUCUGAGUACAGACGAAAUAUGGGACAAAUACUUCAAACACUUCUUUCAGAGAGAGGCACCGAUUCCAGUGUUCUUCUAUGCAUACUAGACAUGAUAAAAGCUUGGAUUGAGGAUGACUACAGACUUGUUUCAUCAGCUGGCUCUGUUAGUUCUCUUAACCCAAAAGAUAUAGUAACUUAUCUUCAGAAGUUAUCAGUGGUUGACAGGAAAAGUUUCUCCUCAUCCGCACAAGAAGAAUGGGAUGCAAAGUAUCUGCAGCUUCUUUAUUCACUUUGUGGUGAUUCUACCAAAUAUCCAUUGGCUUCCAGGCAAGAGUAUUUUCAUAAGGUUGAGAGACAAUACAUGCUUGGAUUUAGGGCUAAAGAUCCAGAAAUGAGGAAGCGGUUCUUCAGGCUUUACCAUGACUACGUGGGAAAGACGUUAUUUGCUAGAUUGCAAUUUAUAAUACAGACUCAGGACUGGGAAGCAGUGAGUGAUGUUUUCUGGUUGAAGCAAGGCUUGGAUCUCAUUUUAGCUAUAUUAGUUGAAAAUGAACCAAUUUCUCUUGCCUCAAAUUCUGCCCGACUUACCCCGCUUACGAUAGUGGGUCCAGUUCCAGAUCGCAUUAUCAUGCCACAGCAGGUUCCUGAUGCUCAUGAAAGCUUGGAUGGCACUUCCCUGUCAUUUGAUUCUCUUACGACGAGGCAUUCUCAGUUCUUAAAUGAAGCAAGCAAGCUUGUGGUGGCAGAUGUCAUGGCUCCAUUGAAAGAACUUGCUUUUGCUGAUCCCAAUGUUGCGUAUCAUUUGUGGGUUCUUGUCUUUCCAAUUGUUUGGGUUACUUUACAGAAAGAUGAACAAGUUGCGCUAGCCAAGCCAAUAAUUGCACUUCUCUCAAAAGACUACCAUAAGAGGCAGCAGGGAUGCAGGCCUAAUGUAGCCCAAGCACUUCUUGAAGGUCUUCAUUUGAGCCACCCUCAACCACGCAUGCCGAGCGAGCUUAUCAAAUAUAUUGGAAAAACUUGCAAUGCCUGGCACACUUCAAUCGCAUUACUUGAGAGUCACAUGCUGCUUAUGAAUGAGGCUAAAUGCUCCGAGUCACUGGCCGAGUUAUACAGGCUUCUGAAUGAAGAUGACAUGAGGUAUGGAUUAUGGAAGAGAAGAUCAAUCACUGCAGAAACUAGAGCUGGGCUAUCACUUGUCCAGCAUGGAUAUUGGCAGCAGGCGCAAACCCUCUUUUACCAGGCAAUGAUCAAAGCAACUCAGGGCACAUACAAUAAUACUGUCCCAAAAGCUGAAAUGUGUCUGUGGGAAGAACAGUGGUUGUCUUGUGCAACUCAGUUAGGCCAGUGGGAAGUAUUGGCUGAUUUUGGAAAAGGUGUGGAGAAUUAUGAGAUUCUUUUGGAUUGCCUCUGGAAGGCGCCUGACUGGACAUAUAUGAAGGAGCAUGUAAUUCCGAAAGCUCAAGUAGAAGAGACACCAAAGUUACGUCUGAUUCAAGCAUUUUUCACUCUUCAUGACAAAGGUACUAAUGGUGUUGGAGAAGCUGAGAACCUCGUUAGCAAAGGUGUUGAACUCGCACUAGAACAGUGGUGGCAGUUGCCUGAGAUGUCUGUGCAGUCCCGAAUGCCUCUGCUGCAGCAGUUUCAGCAGUUGGUUGAAGUGAAAGAAUCCUCUAAAAUACUUCUUGACAUUGCAAAUGGGAAUAAACCAGCUUCGGGGAACUCCGGUGCCAGUUCAAAUCACCAGAAUUCAUUUGCUGAUCUCAAGGAUAUCCUUGAGACAUGGAGACUUAGGACUCCUAAUGACUGGGACAAUACGACUAUUUGGUAUGACCUGCUCCAAUGGAGGAAUGAAAUGUACAAUUCGGUAAUAGAUGCGUUCAAGGAUUUUGGCCAAACAAAUCCUCAACUUCAUCAUCUUGGUUACCGAGACAAGGCUUGGAAUGUGAACAAGCUUGCUCACAUCACUCGCAAGCAUGGUCUUCCUGAUGUUUGUGUUACUAUACUUGAUAAGAUGUAUGGGCAUGCUACAAUGGAAGUCCAGGAAGCAUUUGUGAAGAUAUGCGAACAAGCUAAGGCAUACUUAGAUAUGAAAGGCGAACUAGUCAGUGGUCUUAACUUGAUCAAUAAUACCAAUUUGGAAUUUUUCCCUGUGAAAAAUAAAGCAGAAAUAUUUCGUCUGAAAGGCGACUUCAUGUUGAAAAUGAAUGACUGCGAGAAUGCAAAUGUUGCGUAUUCAAAUGCAAUCACCCUUUUUAAGCAUUUGCCAAAAGGGUGGAUUAGCUGGGGAAAUUAUUGUGACAUGAUUUUCAAAGAAACACAAGAAGAGGUUUGGCUUGAGUAUGCCGCAAGUUGUUUUUUCCAAGGCGUUAAAUAUGGAGUUUCGAACUCAAGGAGCCAUCUAGCUCGAAUUCUCUAUCUUCUCAGCUUUGAUACGCAAAAUGAACCAGUCGGAAGGGCUUUAGAUAAAUAUCUUGAGCAGCUGCCCCAUUGGGUUUGGCUUUCUUGGAUCCCUCAAUUGUUGCUAUCAUUACAGAGAAAUGAAGCUCAACACUGCAAAUUGGUUUUGCUGAAGAUAGCUCAAGUUUAUCCACAGGCCUUGUAUUAUUGGCUUCGUACAUACUUGAUGGAGCGGCGUGAUGUUGCAACUAAAACUGAAAUGGGAAGAAAUAUGUUGGCUCAGCAGCGUAUGCAACAAGCUAUGUUGGCAAACAAUGCUGCAAAUAACAGCAGUGCGGGUGGUAAUUUGACUUCUGACAACCAGGUUCAUCAGGCCGCCCAGUCAGGUGGUGCUACAGGUUCUCAUGAGGGGGGCAACCUCCAAGGACAAGAGGUGGACAGAUCUACGGUUGAAGGUGGUACAAGUACCAGUCAUGAUCAAGGUCAACAGAGCUCAACAGGUGCAGAGGGUUCACAAAAUGCACUAAGACGUAACAAUGGACUUGGUUGGGUCACUUCCGCAGCAAGUGCCUUUGAUGCUGCAAAGGAUAUCAUGGAAGCUCUUAGGAGCAAGCAUACCAAUUUAGCCAACGAACUUGAGCUUUUACUGUCUGAAAUUGGAUCAAGAUUUGUUACUCUUCCCGAGGAAAGACUUCUUGCUGUGGUUAAUGCACUGCUUCAUCGCUGCUACAAGUAUCCAACUGCAACCACAGGCGAGGUUCCGCAAUCUCUCAAGAAGGAGCUUUCUGGUGUGUGCAGGGCUUGCUUUUCACAAGAUGCUGUUAACAAACACGUUGAUUUUGUCAAGGAGUACAAGCAAGAUUUUGAGCGUGACCUUGACCCAGAUAGUGCUACUACAUUUCCAUCAACCCUUGCUGAACUUACUGAGAGAUUGAAGCACUGGAAGAAUAUUCUGCAGAGUAAUGUUGAGGACAGAUUUCCUGCUGUAUUAAAGCUAGAGGAAGAAAGUAAAGUACUUAGGGAUUUUCAUGUUGUUGACGUAGAACUCCCGGGGCAGUAUUUUACAGAUCAGGAGGUUGCGCCUGACCACACUGUCAAGUUGGACAGAGUUGGACCUGAUAUACCAAUUGUCCGGAGACAUGGUAGUAGCUUUCGGCGCCUGACACUUAUUGGUUCUGAUGGUUCGCAGCGCCAUUUUAUUGUUCAGACAUCAUUGACUCCGAAUGCUCGGAGUGAUGAAAGAAUGCUGCAGCUUUUCCGUGUGCUAAACAAAAUGUUUGACAAACACAAGGAGUCUAGACGUCGCCAUCUUGCUAUCCAUACCCCGAUAAUUAUUCCUGUUUGGUCUCAGGUUCGGAUGGUAGAGGAUGAUUUGAUGUACAGCACUUUCCUUGAGGUUUAUGAAAUCAACUGUGCACGGCAUAACAGAGAAGCUGAUUCACCUAUAACAAUUUUUAAAGAGCAGCUAAAUCAAGCCAUCUCAGGGCAGGUUUCUCCUGAACAAGUGGUGGAACUGCGUUUGCAAGCAUACAAUGAAAUUACUAAAAGUAUUGUAAAUGAUAAUAUCUUCUCCCAGUACAUGCACAAGAUUCUGCCAACUGGCAACCACCUUUGGACUUUCAAGAAACAGUUUGCAAUCCAAGUGGCUCUGUCCUGCUUCAUGUCAUACAUGUUGCAGAUUGGUGGCAGGGCUCCUAACAAAAUUCUGUUUGCGAAAAAUACCGGGAAGAUCUUCCAGACUGACUUCCAUCCAGCUUAUGAUCCAAAUGGAUUGAUUGAGUUCAAUGAGCUAGUUCCAUUUAGGCUGACACGCAACAUGCAAGCUUUCUUCUCAAAUUUUGGCGUUGAAGGUCUCAUCGUUUCUGCCAUGUGUUCUGCUGCCCAGUCUGUGGUUUCACCUAAACAAACCCAACACAUAUGGCAUCAUCUGGCUAUGUUUUUCCGCGACGAGCUGUUAUCUUGGUCAUGGAGAAGGCCGCUUGGCAUUCCGUCUGUUCCAGUUGCCGCUGGAAUGAUCAAUCCAUUGGAUUUCCAGCAAAAGGUUAUACACAAUGUGGAUCACGUCAUCAACCGUAUCAAAUCCAUAUCACCACAUUAUCUUGCUGAUGAGGAGGAGAGCACAACAGAACCGCCCCAGUCUGUCCAAAGAGGCGUUACAGAACUGGUGGAAUCCGCGCUAUCUUCGAGGAACCUGUGCAUGAUGGAUCCGACAUGGCACCCAUGGUUCUGA
rnacentral:rRNA from 1 species